AUAUUUUGUAGUACAGCGAGAACGACAUCUCGCUUAUUUUUCAGUGUGUACGAUAUAACGGACAUCAAAAUUUAAUAGCGAUGGUGGUGUUACAUGGAAUUUAAUAUUCAGUAGAUGUGUUACGAAAUUGACAAUGGAAAAACAGCAAAUAACUAUGGGAUUUCUUAUUUACAUGUUUAUGCACGAGCCUAUCAAGAGUAUGAGGUUCAAGUUUGACCAAAGCAUUGAGUUCUCUCUGACCGAUGAAAACACUGAGGCUCUUCACCCACUGCAGGUCUUCCCUGGCAGAUACGCCCCUACCUGUCAGGCAACAGCAAAGUUAAUGUGAUGUGUAGUGCAGAUGUUGAUGGACUACCUAACUCAGAAAUGCAACGCACUUAUCAAGUUCUUGUCAGACAAGGGGAUCUUAAGUUCAAAUGCACCAAUUCUUCUGCUAUUGUAAACAACAAACGUCACAAGAUUGUAUGUGAAGUGUACGAUGUUGAGGGUAUUGCCUGUAACAAGAUCUUGUGGAAGCGAGGAGACACUGGUGAAGAUUAUAGUCCCGGCAGCUAUAACAAUAUCAAUGUAGCCUGCAGGGAAAUUACUAAUUCCAAGAUAGAAACAACACUGGAGAUUCUGCAGGUGACGGCGGAAUAUUUCAAAACAUCAUUCAGUGUUAUCUACAACGACCCUUUGUUCCAGACAAAAGAGUUCCAGCUUAGCAUUCCACAAGAAUACACCAACUCGGUAGUGGCCCUGCAGACAUCUUUCGUAUUAUUGUGUUCCAUUGUUCUCGCUUUUAUCCUAUAACAAUUACUGUCUUUGGACAAUGAAUAAAAAAAA
rnacentral:misc_RNA from 1 species